UUGGGGAUUUUCCGCAAUGGGCGAAAGCCUGACGGAGCAACGCCGCGUGAGGGAUGAAGGCCUCUGGGCUGUAAACCUCUUUUCUCAAGGAAGAAGAUCCGACGGUACUUGAUGAAUAAGCCACGGCUAAUUCCGUGCCAGCAGCCGCGGUAAUACGGGAGUGGCAAGCGUUAUCCGGAAUUAUUGGGCGUAAAGCGUCCGCAGGCGGCCCUUCAAGUCUGCUGUUAAAAAGUGGAGCUUAACUCCAUCAUGGCAGUGGAAACUGUUGGGCUUGAGUGUGGUAGGGGCAGAGGGAAUUCCCGGUGUAGCGGUGAAAUGCGUAGAUAUCGGGAAGAACACCAGUGGCGAAGGCGCUCUGCUGGGCCAUAACUGACGCCCAUGGACGAAAGCCAGGGGAGCGAAAGGGAUUAGAUACCCCUGUAGUC
rnacentral:rRNA from 1 species